rfam:Myotis brandtii contig162468, whole genome shotgun sequence.
UGCAGUUCUCGGGUGACGCACCUGGAACCAGAGAGGAGGGAGCCUGAUUCCAGGGUGCGUCACCCGAGAACCGCC